rnacentral:lncRNA from 1 species
AUUCCUGCAUCUAACAGUUUGAUCACUUCCUUUCUCACAACUUCUUUCAUGAUAGGAUUGAGCCUUCUUUGCCCAUCAAUUCAGGUCUUUCACAUUCUUUUAAAAUGAUUUUAUGCAUGCAAAAAGAAGGGCUUAUACCUCGAAUGUCAGCUAUGGUCCAACCAAUUGCUUUCUUCAACUUCUUUAAAAGAACAAUCAGUUAUUCCUCUUGAUCUUUCGUUAGUUCUGCUGAAAUAAUCACAGGCAAAGUAAAAUAGUCACCUAAAUAAAUAUAUUUCAAAUGGGAAGGAAGUACCUUUAGUUGAAGUGUAGGUUGUUCUUCGAUUGACAACUUGGGUUGCACAAAUUCUCUGACUUCUAACUCUAAUAGUUCAAACCGUGUGGAUUGAAUAAAAUUUCUCGGAUUGGCUUCCAUCAAAGCCAUGUUUUUUCACCUUCUUCAUCCUCCAAAGGGUCAAACUCUAAGGCUUUCUCCAAUGGAUCUUCCUCAAAAUUGCUUUCCAUAGAAACCAAGGUUUCUAUCUCUUCCAUAAUUGAACACCCCUCUAUCGGAUCGAGAAAUUUCAUCACUUUAAGAAUGUUUAAGGUUACCUGAUCAUUUUGAACUCGCAUGGUGAGUUCUCCUUUCUGCACAUCAAUUAAGUAUUUAGAGGAGUUGCUAGGACGACCCUUACGGUAGCUAAGUACUAGAUUUCAUCUAUUGAGAGGAUCUUGGAUAAUUUGUACUAUACCCUAGAACAUAAACUUAAGGGUACAGUGUCUCUUUUGAGAAAUGAGGCAUUUUGUUGGUGGAAAUCUAUCAUGGAAGGUACCAAGCCAAAGAAGAUAACUUUGGAUUAUUUCAAAACUGCCUUUCGUAAAAAAAUAUGGGAUCGAGGUAUGUUGAAGCCCGAAAACUUGAUUUUAUUAAAUUGAAGCAAAGGGACCAAACCGUAUCCGAGUAUGAGGCUGAGUUAUUAAGCCUGAACCGGUAUGCACAAGGGGUGGUAGCUUUAGAGUAGAACAACUGUGUUAGAUUUGAGAAUAGGCUGAGGUAUGACCUCAAGGUCCAAGUUGUCAUAUUGUAGGAGAGAGUCUUCGAGACUUUAGUAGAGAAGGUGAAGAUCCUUGAAGAGGUGAAAUAUGAUAAGCAAGAUAGAAGAGAUAAGACCAAGAAUCUAGUGAAGAGAGAUUUUGGUCUGGGAAAUUCUAAUCCAUGCCCAGUGAAGAGGGUCCGUGAAAAUAGACCAUGUCAGUACCCUGCUAUUGCAAGUAACAGAAAUUAGACCCGCAAUUAUGCUUACUGUGGGAAGUCUCACAAUAGGAAAUGUUGAAAGAGCAAGGGAGCAUGUUCUAGGUGUGGGGCGUGGUAAUAACAAAAUGAUAAUAGUGGGUAGAGGACAAAUGGUCAAUGUACGAACUGUACUAAUGUUAGACAGCCCACCUUGGUUUAUGCAGUAAGGCACCAAGAGGACGGUAAUACGGCUGAUGUUAACGCAGGUACUUUUAUAAUAAAUUUUGUACAAUACUUUGCUUUGAUAGAUAUAGGAUCAACUCAUUCUUAUGUUUCCUGCUCUAUGACUGAUAAAUUGGGAGUUCUAGUGGAAAUUAAUGUUAGCGGCAUAACUGUACUCAGUCCCCUAGGAUAAUUUAUGUAUGUGAAUAAAAUAUUUAGGAGAUGUCCUUUAGAAAUUUAGGGUGAGUUGUUUCCAGCUGACUUGAUGGAGCUGCCAUUCAGUGAAUUUGAUCUUAUUUUGGGCAUGGAUUGGUUGAAGGAGCAUCGAGUUAGCCUUGAUUGUGAUACAAAGUUGGUUACUCUGAGGACUUUAACCAGAAAGGAGAUAGUUAUGAUCUAUAAGCACCAAUAUUACUUGUCCAAUGUGAUCUCUACUUUGGUAGCCGAGAAAUUAGUUCAUAAAGGGUACGAUGCAUAUUUGGCGUACAUUCUGGAUAUGAAAGCUGAUGACUCAAUGUUAGAAAGCAUCUGUGUAGUAAAAGAGUUUCCUGACGUCUUUCUAAAAGACUUGCCCGAUCUACCUCCAAAACGCGAGGUUGAUUUUGGGAUUGAGUUGCUGCCUAGGAUAGCUCCGAUGUUUAUUGCUCCCUACUAAAUGGCACCUAAGAAUCUUAAAGCAUAGUUGCAAGAGUUUUUAGACCAUGGUUUUAUCUUGGGGAGCUCCAGUUCUACUCGUGAGGAAGAAGGAAAAUGGUAUGCAUUGAGUGUUAACUCGGUCUUCCUGGAAUUUUCACAACAUUCGUGUUGACAAAAUGUCUAACCUUUUGCCCCGGUAAAACUUCACUCCUUUAUUUCUCCUUCCUCAACCUACACCUGCCAAAGCACCAAACACAACCCUACCACAAGCAAUUAAAAGUACCUAAUAUUUCAACAAAGUCCAAGCUCCUAAUGGAAUGAUGAAGAUAUGAAUGAAAUGUCCUAAAAUGCAACUAAAUGUACCUUGGUGCAAGUAAUUAGCUAGGCCUUAAAGCAUGAAAUAUAAAUUUUUUCAAGAGUUAUCACACCCUCAAACCUGAGUUAUUACUUUUCCUCAAGCCAAAUACAUAUGAAUGCAUGAAUCCAUAAAUUUUUACCCUUCCAUAUAACUAUCUUAUACUAUUAAUCUAUUAAAAGAACAACAUAUACAUCAGUUCUCAGUAGUCUUCUUUCUCUAAAAGCUUGAUUGAAUGUCAAAGGUUCAUUUCAAAAAAGGUAGUGUAGAAAAUUUGUCCCUAAAAAUAAAAUUUCCUAAAUACUCAUGUAUGCUUUCUGGCCAUAACAAAUAUCUCCUAAUGCACUCAGUUCAUUUGUAACCUAAACUAUAACAGCCUAUUUUUAGUGAAAUCGAGACCACAAAUCCUACGUGAAAAUAUUUAUAUUAUUAUUUUAAUGUCUAUGGCAUGUUAAUAGUGUCAUUUGCAUGCUUAAUUUAGUGAGAAUGGCUAAAUUGUAAAAGGUGUAAAAGUAGAGUUCUAGUAGCUAAAGGUAUCAAAUAGCUAUAGAACUUUAAUGUGAGAGUAAUUAGGUGGUAAUUAGACCAUUUAUGUGGUAGUGGAAAUUUAUGGGUUUGGUUUUAUUAAAAUUAGGGAUAUUUUUAAAGGUUAAAAAUGUAAUUAAGUAAAAAAAGGUUAAUAUAAUAAAAACAAAAGAAAGAAAUAAGAUAUCUUCCUAUCUUCAUCCUUAGCUGAAAUAUUCAAGGGAAACCAUAGCUAGGUUUCAGUCAAGCUAUAUUCACCGGUAUGUAAGUGGUUUUUGUUUCGCUUUAAUGAUUUCUAUGUUUUUGAAGUUGUUGUAGCUUAAUCUAGCUAGCCCAGGGACUAAUUUGCAAAACUAUUAAAGGUUUAAGGUUUUACCAUGAAUUUUCUUACAUGAUUUAAGAAGUUUGAUGAAAUAUUAUGAGUCCUUGUGGUUAAAUAAACAAUUUUUGUAAAGUGAUUUUUGAUGAAUUUGUCAUUUAGGGACUUAUUUGUAAAAGUAGUAAAAUACCAUGAUAAAUUUGUGAAAUGUCGAUUUGUAUGAGGUUGUAUGAGCCCCUAGGCAAAUCAACUAGCAUGAUAUGUGGAUGAAAUUGCAUAAAUGAAAAUUUACGAGCUUAAGGACUAAAUUAUAAAGAAGUUAAAAUAUUAGGGGCAAAAAUGUACAUCUGCAAUAGUAUGAAUUUUGGACUAAAUUGAAUAGUAUGUGUAUUAAAAAUAUUGAAUUUUCUUAUUUAGAUAAAGAUAAACCUUGUACGGAUUUAGAUCGAGGAAAGGCUAAAGUCUCAGAUUAGUGAUCCUAUUUUGACGUCUUUGUAAUCAAGGUAAAUUUGUAUGUUUAAAUAACAUUAUAAUGUUAUUUUGAUAUUUAUGCAUUGUAAUAUAUAUCAUGUAAAGAAAUUAUGAGAAUCCAAUGACGUUACAAUGACUAUCGAGCUCCGUUUGAACCUUAGGAAUAUAUAGGAUACAAAUGAAAUGUCAUUAAGGUUACCAUGUUUCGGAUGUUGGUCUUGACUGUCCUACCAAUGGAUGAGCUCUGGAAUUUUUUGCUGAUAUUCGCCAACUUAUGUGAGUGGCAUUGUGUACCAACAUUCUGAUCGUCAACUUGUGUGAGUAGGCCCAUUUAUGGCUUGAGUGAGCAAUGAUGUAAAGGAAAAGGAAUGGUUUCAACCAUAUGUUUAGCAUAUUUUGUGUGAGCUUCCCGCGUAUCCAAUAUUAUUCUAAGUGGUUCAACGGGUAUGAAAUGGGAAGAAACAGUAAGGGUGAGUUUGGAUGGGCGGUGCGUUUACCUGCGGUUAGUGUAAAAACUGCAGUGGCGGUGAGAUUAGAUACUGUAGCGACACUGUAGCGUGAGACAAAAAGUAAGCUAAACGCACCACACCGCACCCAGUCGCCCAUCCAAACCCAUCAUAAGUGCUCCAUUGACUACGUUAUGAACUUAUGGAAAGGUAUGAAUUGAUAAUGAUCAGAGUAUACAUAGUUAUGUUUAUGGAAAGUAUGAAUUCAAAUGUACUAUGUUCAUGAAAUUUACCUUACCAUGUGAUGCUUUUGUUGAGUUAUGUGUUAAGGCACUAACUUAUGUUGUUGAUGAUGCUUGGGCUUGUGUCAAGCUUAUUUUGGAUUGAUUCAUGUUUAAAUUAUGAGGUUUUGCAUUGAAAUGGUAAGCUAUGUUCAUGAUUUACGAACUUACUAAGCAUUAUAUGCUUACGUAGUUUUCUUUUCUAUGUUUUAUAGAUUAUCGGAAGCUCGUUCGCUUUGGAAGUUCGUCAGAGACCUAUCAUACUAUCCGGCGAUUAUAUCAGUAGAUUUUGAUGUUUUGGUCAAGGUUAGAAUGGCAUGUAUAAAUGAACUUCUGCUUAAUGAUCUAGUUGUUUUGGAAUGUAUAAGUGUUAUUAUGGUUGAUGUACUUAUGGUUUUUUGAUGCCUUGAUGGUUGGUGUUAUUAUGGCCAAGAUGUUGCAUGUUUUGAAUGAUCAAUUUGGUAUGUGAUGGUGUAUUUUCAAUAUGGUCAAUUAAGGUAUGUUUUUAGUUGAAAUAAGUAAAAUGUGUAAGGUUGAUGAAUGGUCAAGCAUGCAUAUUUUUUUGUAGGUUUAAUGGAUUGUAAUUAAGGUGUCUUAUUGGCAUAUUGGUUGCAUGGAUUAUUGGUAUAGAGAUUUGGUCAUUUGAUGUAUGUUUUGGGCAUGUUUUAAGGUCUUGAUUAUUUAUGCAAUUGGCUUGUAGGUACAUGUCUAAAUGGGUGAAAGAAAUGGUUUGAUUUUAGCCAAUUCUUGUCCACACAGCCUAAAAUGCCGGCGUGUGUCUCAGUCUAUUGUGACACGGUCGUGUGUCCCUUGUAGGUAUUAAAGGUUUCAAGUCAGGCAGUUACACGGCCUCGCACACGUCCUGGUACAUAGGCGUGUGAGGCCAUUUCGAGUGUUACAUGGCCUGGCACACGGGCGUGUGGCUUGGUCGUGUGACCUAACUUAGAGAGUUACAUAAGCACGAACACAGGCUGGGACACGGCCGUGUGUCCCUAUUUUGAUUGUUACACAGCCUAAGACAUGGGCGUGUGUCUCAGCUAUGUGAGUCAUAUGGCAGUGUGAACCCUGUAGUUUUGAAUUUUCUAACAUUUUCCUGAUUUAGUCCUGAAUCAUUUCUAAAGUGUUUCUAAGGCCUCGAGGGUUCGAAUAAGGGAUGAUAUGAAUGUCUAUGAGUGGAUUAUGCUAUGAUUAUUGUAAUGUUUGGAAAUGAAUGUUUUUAGGUUAUGUUUAUACAGUAAUGCUCCGUAACCCUAUUCUGGUGAUGGAUACGGGUUAGGAGUGUUACAUUUAGUGAUAUCAGAGCUAUGGUUUAGUUGGUUCUCAGACUGAACGUAGCGAGUACGAGUCUAGAAAUACAUGUCAUUAUAUAACCUGUGAUUGUGUGGUAACUCCUAACUCAAUUUGAACUAUACUUUUAUAUAGAUAAUGUCAUCCAACCAAGUCGAUUCUGAUGAGGCUGAAAGUAUCGCGCAAGCCUCUGUUCAUGUAGCAGCGUUGAGUGGAAGUAGACUUGUAUUUAAGGUAUGGGGAGGAGAGGCUAAGGAAACCUUCUUUCAGAUGAUGAAUGAGUGGUUCACCGAUUUUCUACGAACGAACCCGAUGGCUCAACGACCUCAACCCCUACAUAUUCCCCAACCAAUCCCUAUAGUUCCUCAAGGUUUUGAACCAAUACGAUUGAGCAAGCCUCCAGUUGAUAAAAUCCGCAAAUAUGAGGCUGAAGAGUUUAGAGCUACGUCUAAAAAUGAUCCAGAUAGAAUCGAGUUAUAGUUAGAAAAUACAAUCAGGGUUUUCAACAAAUUAUCUUGUACGCCGGUAAAAUGUGUGAAAUUUUUUGUUUCCUUACUGAAAGACUCAACCUAUCAGUGGUGGAAUACCUUGGUUUCAGUUGUGUCAAGAGAAUGAGUAGACUAGGAAUUCUUUCAAACUGAGUUCUAUAGCAAAUAUGUGAGUCAGAGGUUUCUUGACAAGAAACACAAAGAGUUUCUCAAGCUUAAACAAGGCCAGAUGAUACUAUCUGAGUGAGAGACAGGAUUUGUUUGAUUGAGCAAGUAUGCCCGAGAAUGUAUACUGACUGAGAUUGCCAUGUGUAAACGGUUUGAAGAUUUGCUGAAUGAAGACAUGAAGCUGUUAGUCAGGAUUCUAGAAUUGAAAGAAUUUUUUAUUCUAGUUCACCGAGCACACAAAGCUGAAGAAUUGAGUAAAGCUAAAAGAAAAGUUGAUUUAUGAGGCUUGUGAUUCGAGUAAGAGAUCGGCGGGAAAAUCAUCUCAUUUAUCGUCAAAGAAGUCAAAAGAAUAUCAUAAUCGUUCGUUAGCUUCAGUGGGUCAUUCUGGUAGAGAUCGAAGAAAAUAGCAUGCGAAUUUAAAACCUCAGGCUACUCUAUAUCGAGCCUAGCACACGGACGUGUGAAGCCAUUUUGAGUGUUACACGGCCUGGCACACGAGCCACUGGCUUGGCCAUGUGACCAAACUCAGAGAAUUACACGAGCAUGGACAUGGGCUGGAACACGGCUGUGUGUCCCUAAUUCGAUUGUUAGAUGGCCUGAGACAUAGGCGUGUGUCUCAGCCGUAUGAGUCAUACAGCCGUGUGACCCUUGCAGUUUUGAAUUUUCUAACUUUUUCCACAAUGUUUCAAAUGUUCCUGAUUUAGUCCCGAAAUAUUUCUAAAGUGUUUCUAAGGCCUCGAGGGUUCAAAUAAGGGGCGAUAUAAAUGUCUGUAAGUGGAUUAUGCUAUGAUUAUUGUAAUGUUUGGAAAUGAAUGUUUUUAGGUUAUGUUUAUAUAUUAAUGCUCCAUAACCCUAUUCUGGCGACAGAUACAGCUUAGGAGUGUUACAUAAACUCAAGUUACUUUGCUACCCUUGCUCACAACCUUUUCAAGAUAUUUAUUUGUACUCGUUUUUUCUCUUCUUUAUUAUUAUUAUUUUCUUUUUCUUUUCUUUUUUCUUUUAGCAUGUCACAAAAUUCUUUGACUUGAUAUUCACAAUGGAGCAUACACUAAAUUACCUAGCUCUCAAUCAUGUCAUAAUUUAAAUAUAAAUCACUUGUGAAGCUAAGGUUUUUGACUAAAAAGAUGGAUGAAGUAAACAACUACCUUCUUAGCUACUCAGUCUGUUGCUAUAGUGAAGUACCCAUUUUCUUUAUUACACACUAUUACUUGGACUCACCUUUCUAGUCAACAGCACAGUGGAGCAAAUAAAAUGGUGCUAACUUACUCAACAAUUUUAAGCAUUGGAGUGCCUAUUGUCCUUUAUUUAAGUAAUGUCGUGGCAAAAUGACUGAGUUUGGCUUCAAAAACCCUAAAUUCAUCAAAAAGCCCUUGCUAUUAAUCAAAAAGGGAAAAAAACUAAGUAUAAGACAUCUCAUUUUUAAGAAUUAAUUUUCACGCAAUCUAACCUAAGCUAAACUCGCCUCAUCCACUAUCACAUGUUUUAGAUAUACUGAAGAAUAUAAGCUCAUCAUCGAACAUCACAAGUACAGAUUGAAUUUCUCGCAGAUAAAACAGUAUUUAAUAAUCACAUGGCAUUGGAAAACAACUUAACUAUACUAGGAUGAACAUACAUACUAGAUACGUAAUGCAACCUAAAUGCACAAUACAUCACCCCAAACUUAAGGGAUGCAUUAUCCUCAAUGCAUGAAUAGAUAUAUGCAAACUAUCUAUGUACAGACAAUGUCAUGGCAAAAUAUAUGCAAUGCAAUAUGUCUGAAAUAAAACGAAAACUUUCCUUGCUUGGACUACAUUAUAGAUACUUCAUUAUGUCUGACGAGUUGAUUUAUGAGCAGCAACCUUGUACCUUUACUUCCUCUUCAUCCUCACAGUCAGUCUCAAUACUGACAAACUUUAUUUUCUCUGGUUCUUUCUCUGAUGCUUUAGGUGCAUUCUCUUAAUUGGUAGGAUUUGUCGAUGGGUUCUGCGUCACCGACCCUAUCCCCUCUUGCAGUUUAUUAAACAAAGGAAAUAAAAUAACUAAGAGAAAUUUAAAUCGACAAAAUAAAAUAAAAAUAAAAAGAAUUUUCAAGAUGUUGAAGUUAAACAUCUCAAAGAUCAAAGGACUAUUUGUCUCACUCUACAUAAGCACCCCAAUAGUGUUUCAAGCGUUGUCCAUUAACUUUAAAUGUGUCCCCUAUUUUCAUGUACUUGACAUCAACAACUCCAUGUGGGAUAUAUAUGAGCUACCAAGCAUUAUUCAUCAAAAUUGAAAGGUUUAUUUUGCUCCAGCAAAGUGUAUAAGGGUCUCCGCUCAAAUGAAUCUUUAUCACUAUCAAAACUGAUGUGGCAAUAUAUCAUGAACUCUUCCUCCACUACUGUUUCUAUUAAGUCAAUGGCAUGGCAUUCUUUAUUAUCAUCAAAAUAUUUCAGUGCAUUAAAUAAAUUUAAUGUGACCUAUUGAUCAUUCAUCCUCAUGGUCAAUUCACCUUUCUACACAUCAAUUGAAGUCCUGCCUGUAGCAAGAAAAGGCCUUCCAAGAAUAAUUGGCACAUCUUUGUUAGCUUCACAAUCUAAAAUAAGGAAAUCAGCUGGAAAAAUAAACUUAUCUACUCUUACCAACACAUCUUCAAUUUUACCUUCUGGAUGUGCAUAGGAUCGAUCAGCCAGUUGUAAUGUAACUGUAGUAAGUCUAGUUUUUCCAAUUCCCAGCUUCCUGAAAAUAGACAGCAAUAUUAGAUUUAUACAUACUCCUGAAUCACAUAAUGCAUUACCAACAUAAUGAUUUCCAAUUAAACAUAAAACAGAGAAACUCCCUAAGUCCUUCAACUUUGGAGGUAAUUCAUCAACAUUGUUGUGCACCCUUAAGUGAAAGCAAUAGUCUCAAGUUCUCCCAUUCUGUGCUUCUUCGACAGUAUAUCCUACAUAAAUUUCAUAUAGUUUGGCAUUUGCUCCAAAUCUUCUACUAGUGAUAUAUUAAUAUGUAGUUGCUUCAAGACCUCCAAAAACCUUUUGAACUGAACAUCUUGUUUAGAAUUAUGUAAUUUCUGAGGAAAAGAUAGAGGUGGUCGCCCUUCAGGUUUCUGAUAUUGUUUUCCUAUAGCGUUUUUAUUGGCAGCCUGAUCUAGUUCUGCCACAGCAUUCUUCUGCUUACCCUUUUCAAGUGUAAUAUGUUUUUCAGAUGGCUUUGGGAUCUUCACAUGGUUGUUAUUUGAGUUAUCCUCUCCUGCUGUGGCAUCUUGAACAACAUCAUUUAACUGAGUUCCACUUCUAAGAGUGAUCACUUUGCACUGUUCUUUCCCUUAUGUUAUCCAAUUCUAGGUAUCGUUGGCAAUGCUCCUUGUGGCCUCAAAUUUAAAGCAUUUGCUAUUUGCCCCACUUGAUUCUCAAGAGCUCGUAGGGACAUAGCUUGACUAAGGUAUCUUUCUUGGCCAUAAAUUAUUUCAACAAGUCUUCAAUAGAUGGUGAUGAUAAUGACUGGCCUUGUUGUACAUUUUGCCUCAGCAUAGGAUGAUUAUAACUAGGCGAUGCACUAUCGGCAUUCUUCUUGUAGCAUUGUUAAAAUUCCCCUCACCUUGAUUAUUCCAACUAAAGUUUGGAUGUUGUCCCCACCUUGGAUUAUAGGUGUUGGAAUAGGGAUUAUUAUUCCAAUUGAAAUUACCUAUGUAGCACAGGAAUGUUGGGUUUGGUGGGAAUUCAUCCAACACGUGGUCAUCACCACAAUAAACACAUGCUAGCCUAAUAGCUUUCACCUCCUGAACUGUAGUUGGUAUCUCUAUCAUCUUGAUCAUAUUAGUUAAAGAUGAAACAUGGGUAGUCAAUGAAGUGAUUGUAUCAAGUUCCAUGGUACCAGCAGCUUUCUUACCUGUUCAAACUCUCGUGGUAGGAUAUUGAUAAUCAUUGCUGGCAAUCUUUUCCAAAAUCUCAUAUGCUUCAUUAUAAGAUUUAUCCAACAAAAUACCAUUGGUGAAGGCAUCAAUUACCAUCCUCAUAUGCGCAUUCAUUCCAUUAUAAAAUAACUCCAUCUGUGUCUAGUGCUGAAAUCCAUGCAUCGGGCACUUCUGAAUGAAGUCUUUAAAUCGCUCUCAAGCUUCAUAUAGCGUUUCAUCAUCCAAUUGCCGAAAAGAUGUGAUGUCAUUUCUAAGCUUGGCAUUCAUAUUUGGAGGAUUAUAUCGUAGAAAAAAACUCUAGCAAAGAUCAUUCCAUGAUGCUACUAUUCAGUACGGCAGAGCAUUCAGUCAUGCUCUCACACGAUCUCUUAAAGAAUAUGGAAACAGUUUAAGUCGCAAAGUGUCUUUAGGCACACCCUACUGUCUCUAUGAGUCAUAAACCUCUAAAAAAAGUCUUAAAUGAAGUAUUGGAUCUUUAUUAGGUAAUCCACUUAACUGUCCUACUGUUUACAACAUCUAAAAUAUUACCAGUUUCAGCUCAAACUACUGAACUUGUAUUUGUGGUCUGACUAUCUCUGGAUUCAAAUCAUCCAAAAUUAGCACAACAUGCUCUCAAAUUGGUCUAUCUCGGUCAUCUAUCACUCUACGAACAUGAAGAUUAGCAUCCUGACCAUUCAAAUUAUCAUUGAGACUAGGAUCAUUUUCGUUUCUAGCAUCAUAGUUCUUUUCACCUUCUUCGUAAAGUUAUUUCGAUGUCUGGGUUAAAAGGAUACUCUUUGUUAGCAGGAAUAUCUUUUCUCAUGUACUGAUGGAAAACUUAUAGAAAAAUAUAACUAAGUUAAAUAAAACUAAUGGAGCUAAGUGAAAUAACAAAACCAAUUUUUAGGAAAUUGUCAAUCCCUGGCAACGGUGCCAAAAAAUUGUCGCGUGUGAAUAUGAUAUGUGAAUUGUGCAAGUAUACACGUUGGAUCAACUAAUAAAAUGAUAAGUGAGUAUCAUUCCCAUGAGGUUCCGAUUGAUGCACAAAAGUGGUCAAGUUAUUAUAAUAGAGUGUUAUUAAUGCUAUGGCAAAAACAACGAUAAGUAUAAAGGAGUAGUGAUGUAUGUAAUAUGUGGAAUUUAAUGAAUACAUGGAAAUGUUAUGGAAAAACAAAAGUAGAAAUGUAAUGGAAAUUAUGAGAAUUACUACGGGAAUAUUAUGUAAAUGAACAAAUAAAUAACUAAUAAUGAUGUGACAAAGAUACUAUGGCAAAGAACAAAGGAUAUACGAUGUUGAUUUGGAAUGUUGGAAUUACUAAGAAUCUACCCUUACUGUCAGAGAUGCCUCGAAAAAAUCAUAAUUAAUUUACUACUUAGAAGAGUUCUAAAGUGGUCUGCUUCUUUCGAGAGCAAAAGUCUCAAGUUACCUUACCCAUGACAAUAUGCCUUUAAUACGAUACCCUGCACUAUUUCUUUCUGUAUGAAUGUUGCUCUAUAUCUAAAGUCUACUACAAGCAUCUAUUGAAUACUUGCUCAUAUCAUUCAAUUUUGGUCCAACUAAUCCAACUUUUUCAAAAUUAAAUUAGUUUAUGUGCAUGCUACAUAGUCUCUAUGUCUAGGAAUUGCACGCUUAUAAUUUAGAAAAAAAUAAUUAAAUGAAACAGUAAAUUAAUUCAAAUCUAUGCUUCAACCAUUAAAGAAAAUAAAGGUUUCAUCAUGUAAUCUCAACCCUAUGAAAUUUAGCUCAUGGGUUGGCACAUAAAAUUUAAAACCAAAAUAACAUCCAACACCAUUUUCAUCAUUCCAUUCAAGGAAGAACAAAGGAAGAAAAGUAUAAGACUUUGAGAAUACAACUUUUGCAUGUCAUGUUCACACUCCAACAACAUAAUUCAGGCGAUGGCUAAGAGGGACUACUUUUGUCUUCCUCUUUUUGUCUCUACUCAGUCGCUACCCUCUAUUUUUGCCUAAGGAUCUGUUACUUUUUGUUCGUCAUUUAGGGUUUCCUCCUUUGGCUUCUUAUAGCUUUUUUCCUUGGGUAAAUCCAACAAAUCAUGUUUAUCUUCUCCUCUUUUUAAAAUUUUUUUUCUAGAAUAAAAAUAAACAUCCCAGGAUUAUCUUCUCCUCUUUUAGGUACAUUUUUUUGGUAAAACUACAGUUGGGCUGAAAUUGGUAUGCAUUGAGUGUUGACUCGGUCUUCCUAGAAUUGCCACAGCAUUCGUGCUAACCAAAUGUCCAACCUUUUGCCCUGGUAAACCUUUACUCCUUUAUUUCUCAUUCCUCAACCUGCACCUGCCAAAGCACCAAACACAACCCUACCAUAAGCAAUUAAAAGUAUCUAUUAUUGAUUUUUUUUGGUAAGUGGUAAUAGGACUUGUAACUAAUAUAGUUUUGGAAAAAAUAUAAUUUUUUUAGAAUCUUUGAGGCAUAUUUUCGAUUGGUAAAUGAGGAGUUUUGAAUCAUAAAAUUAUGAUUUUAUGUUCUACCCCAUGAGACCUUUACAACGAGAUAUCAUAUGCUCAAAAUGGUUGAGUGAUGAAUGAGAAAUUGAUGCUCAAAGUAAGCUACUUGGAAAUUAUGUUGAGAAAAAUGAAAAAGCAUUAAUCCCACAUUUAUUAGGAAUCAAGUGUGGAACUUGUAUAUAUAUGUAAAUCAACUUGGUGGUUAUUAAAUGAGUAAACUAAUGCUCUCCCUCGUGCGCAGGGGGUGCAAAUCUAAAUCCACUGAGGUUGGGGCACACCCGCACGACAUGGGCGUUUCCAAGAUUUUACUCAAAUUGAUUUAAAGGCUUCUUUAAUGCAUAUUUGUAUCUUUAUUCAUGGAAAUUUCUAAAAUUCUUCCACAUUGAAUGCUUAUAAAAGCCUAAAUUCUUUAAAGACACACAACGAAUUUAUUUCACUCUCGAAAAUUCUAUUCCUUUUCUCUCCAAAAUUUUCAAAUGUCCGGUGAUAGAAGAAUGCAAGGUUUGUUCGUUGAUCACUGCAGACGUACUACUGCCGCAAUCAUUUUGUUAUUGUAUCCUGGGAGACAGAUGACCAACAUUUCUCUAAGUACCAUAGGAGCAGCUGAAUCUGUCUUAAGGAAACUGUGAAAACAGGCCUCAGCAUCUAGUAAAACUCGAUUUCCUUAUUCAAUUUCUGGUUUUUCAAUAUCUUGUUUAUAUAAUUAUUUUUUAGAUUUGAUGUUUUAAAUAAAUAUUAAUAUUUAUUUAAUUUAUUUUGUUUAGAUCUGGUGUUUUUACACAAAUAUAGAUAUUUGGUUAUAUUAUUUGUUCAAGAUAUUAUAUUUAAUAUAAAUAUUUACAUUUAUAUUUGUUCGCUAACGUGUUUUGUCCAACAAUAUUAAGACAGAUUUUUAUUAUUUUAAAAUUCUCUAAUCCGAGUAGAACGAGGCACGAAGGCGAAAAAAACAUAUUCUGUCUAAGGAAAAAAUUAAAUUGAAUAAAAUCUAUUUCGGGAUUUAUGAUUGUCGUUCAAUAGAUUUUAUUCCUUUUUUAUUUUGUUUCCAAACAAGAAUUAAUUGAAUAAUUCUAUUUCAGAAUUUAUUCUCGCAUCUCAACAGAUUUUAUUCUAUUUUGAUUUUGUUUCCAAACAAUAAUUAAAUAAAUAAUUCUAUUUCGAGAUUUAUUCCCGCCAUUUAACAGAUUUUAUUUGAUUUUGAUUUUGUUUCCAAACAAGAUUUAAUUAAAUAAUUUUGUUUCAAGAUUUAAUCCUGUCGGCCAACAAAAUUGAUUUUAAUUUUAUUUCAGAAUUUUAACUCUUCCAUUUAACAAAAUCAAAGGGUAAUAUAAAUUUUAAAUUAAAUUUUUUAUUUAUUGUGGCUUUAAUUGUGGCUUUAAAUUGUGAAAGCUUAAAUUGUAGCUUCAAACUUGUGACAUCAAAGAAAAAAAAAUUUAUCAACGGUGAAUUAAAAAAGACAAUAUGAGAGUGCAUGUCUAGGAUUGGUUCUUUGAAAGACUUGGUAUUUAAGCGUGCCAAGUGCACCACCUCUCUUUCAGGGUUACCUACCUGGCACAUUUUUUUUGUCUUUCGAUUAGACCGUGUAAACUUUUGUUUCAAGUUUUAUUAAAUUCCUAUCGUCUAGCAAAAGUUGAUAAUUUUUUUCUAAUUUUGGUUUUGUUUCUGAAAUCUUAACAGAAAAUGGAAACUCCCACCAAUGCUAUGGAAGAUAUGGACUUAUGUGCUGUGAUUUUUGGAGUCAACAUGGUUGACUCACAUCCAAGAGAAUAGUGGCUUGAUACUAGUGCCACACGUCAUAUUUGUUGUGACAAAGACUUCUUUUCUGAGUUGGAGCCUUGUGAAGAUAGGGAGAAGCUCUAUAUGGGCAAUGCUAUGACUUCCAAGAUCAAGGAGAAUGGUACUAUAGUCUUGAAGAUGACUUCUGGUAGAGAACUCAAGCUUCAAAAUGUGUUGUAUGUGUUUGACAUACGCAAGAACCUUAUUUCUGAGACACUCCUUAGUGUACACGGUUUUAAGACGGUGUUUGAAUCCCAGAAGCUAGUUUUGUCUAAAGGGUGAAUGUUUGUGGGAAGGGGAUAUGUAUUAAAUGACAUAUGGAAACUUAAAGCAAUCUCUGUAAAAUCAAAAACUAUGAAUAAGAGUGUUGUUUCUUCUUCUAUUUAUAUGCUUGAGUCAUUUAAUUUAUGGCAUGGUAGGCUCGGACAUGUUGAUUAUGAUACUUUACAUAGAUUAAUUAAUUUAGAGCACAUUCCUUCAUUUCACAUUAGUUAUAAACAUAAAUGUGAAACUUUUGUUGAGGAAAAAUUAACAAUGCUUUCGUUUGAAACUAUUGAAAGAAAUAUAGAACCACUCGAUCUAAUACAUAGCAAUGUUUGUGACUUAAUGUUUGUUCAAACCAGAGGAAGGAAUAAAUAUUUUAUUACCUUCAUUAAUGAUAGCACAAAAUAUUGUUAUGUAUAUUUGCUUCAGAGCAAAAACGAAGUUAUAGAGAAAUUUAUUCUCUAUAAACAGGAAGUUGAAACCUAACUUAAUAACUAAGAUGGUAAGAAGUGAUUGUGGUGGUAAAUAUGUUGAACCAUUUAGUGAAUACUGUGCACAACAUGGUAUUAUUCAUGAAGUGACACCACCAUACACUUCUCAAUCAAAUGGAAUAACCGAGCGAAAAAAUCAGACUCUAAAGGAAAUGAUGAACGCAUUACUAGGAAGCUCUGGGUUAUCACAGAACAUGUGGGGGGAAGCUAUUCUAUGAGCUAAUUACCUUUUAAAUAAGGUUCCCUACAAGAAAAUGGACAAUACACCAUAUGAGUUAUGGAAAGGUAGAAAACCUUCCUACAACUACUUGAAACUGUGGGGGUGUCUUGCAAAGGUAAUGGCUCCAUUACCAAAGUAAAUGAAAAUAGGUCUUAAAACGGUGGAUGUAUUUUCAUAGGCUAUGUAGAUCAUAGAAAUACAUAUAGGUUUUUUGUGUAUGAAUCAAAGAAUCCUGACAUUCACAAGAAUAUUAUAUUGGAAUCAAUGAAUUCUUUAUUCUUUAAAAAUAUCUUCCCUUAUAAAGCUAGGGAAGUUUAUUCAAGUUCAACAAAAUGAACUUCAGAGACUAUAGAAGAAAAUAGUCAAGACGAGGUUAAAACUAUGAUAGAGCCAAGAGUAAACGAGUAACACUGCAAAAAUCUUUUGGAUCAGAUUUUCUAACCUUUAUGCUAGAUGCUAAACCUCAAACAUGUGAUGAUGCUAUACGGUCAUCUAAAAGCACUUCAUGGAAAGAUGCUAUUAAAAGUGAAAUUGACUCCAUCAUGUAAAAUCAUACAUGAGAAUUAGUGGAUCUUACUCUAGGAAUUAAACCAUUAAAUUCUAAGUGGAUUUUUAAAUGAAAAAUGAAAGCAGAUGAAACAAUUAACAAGUACAAGGUCAGAUUGGUUAUAAAAGGUUAUAGAUAAAAAAGAAGGCCUACUUUGAUACUUUUUCUCCAAUAUCCAGGAUAACUUCUAUAAGGAUGAUACUUGCAAUUGUCGCCUUAUAGAAUCUAGAAGUACAUCAAAUGGAUGUUAAAACAACUUUCCUAAAUGGAGAUCUUGAUGAAGAAAUUUACAUAGAACAACCUGAGGGUCAUGUAAUUCUAAGACAAGAAAGGAAAGUUUGUAAAUUGGUGAAGUCUUUAUAUGGACUUAAGCAAGCACUAAAACAAUGGCAUUAAAACUGUUCGACAAUGCCAUGAUGACAAAUGGCUUUAAGAUUAAUGAAUGUGAAAAUUGUGUGUAUGUCAAAACUACCGAUAUUGGAUAUAUAAUCCUAUGCUUAUAUAUUGAUGACAUAGUCAUUGUUGGGAGUAACAAUGAAAUGGUAAAACGUGCCACAGACAUGUUAAAUUCAACGUUUGACAUGAAAGAUAUGGGACUAGCAAAUGUGAUUUUAGCAUCCAAAUUAAGAGGUCAUAUGAAGGUCUGAUAUUGACUUAGCCACACUAUGUGGACAAGAUUCUUGGGAAAUUUAGCAAGGAUGAUUCCGGUAUAGCCAAAACUCCAAUAGAUACAAGCCAACAUUUGUCCAAAAAUAAAGGUGAAAGUGUUGACCAAGUGGAAUAUGCAGGGGUCAUAGGCAGUCUAAUGUACCUUAUGAGUUGUACUAGACCAGAUAUUGCUUUCACUGUGAGCAGUUUAAGCAUAUUCACAAGCAAUCCAGGGGAAAACCAAUGGAAAGUAAUUGUGAGGAUACUGAGAUAUCUUAGAUAUACUCGGGACUAUGGAUUGCAUUAUUCCAAAAAUCCUAUUGUUUUAGAAGGAUUCUCCUGUGCCAGUUGGAUAUCUGAUAUUCAAGAUACCAAAGGCACAAGUGGAUAUGUUUUUACAUUAGGAGGAGGAGCUAUGUCAUGGAAAUCCCCAAGACAAACGAUUAUAACCAGAUCCAUAAUAGAAUCUGAGUUUGUAGCUCUAGACAAAUCUGGAGAAAAGGCUAAAUGGCUUCGAAACUUCUUGGAAGAUAUUCCUGACUGGCCAAAGCCUGUGCCCACAAUAUGUAUAUAUUGUAACAAUCAAGCAACAAUUGGUAGAGCACAAAAUGUAAUAUAUAAUGGUAAGUCAAGACAUAUGCGUCGUUGACACAAUACUUGUAGACAACUGAUCUCAAAUGGAGUUAUCUCUAUUGAUUUUGUAAAAUCAAAAGAUAACAUUGUGGAUCCGCUAACUAAAUGCUUAAAUCGAGAUCAGGUUAAUAAAACAUCGAAAGGAAUAGGACUAAAGCCCAUGGAAAUUAAAGGCGCUAUGUAAAGGAAAACCCAACCUAGUUGACUGGAGAUCCCAAAAUCUAAGUUCAAAUGGACAACCUAAUUGCAUAGGCCUUGUGAGGUCACUAUAGGGGUUCUUAUUCCAAGUCCGUUCCUAUGAAAUAAACAGUAAUUUAAAGUGAGAUAGGUUAAGUAAAGCUUUUAAUGACCAUUGUGUGUUUCGGAAAGCCAAGCAACAUAAGUCACCUAUGUUAGAGUGAAGUGGGGCCGCUUCGAGGAGACUAUUGUGCAUAGUUCUCUCAAAAUCUUGCAGAACCAGGAAAUGUUCAUGGUCAUAUAAACAUACCUAUGAGAACGAAGACCUUGCUAGGGAGGUAGUUGUGUAAGGUAUAUCAUUGUUUACACAAACGACAGAACAGUUCAAGGAUAUUGCGUCAACUAGUCAGCUAGUAAAAUAAAUAUACUUUCACAAUGUAAGGUUCAAGGGUUGAUGUCUGCCUAUCAUAUGCAACUAUCAAUCGUAGAAUCUAUCACCACAUCCAGCCAAUGUUUUUCAUUAAACCUAUCAAUUUCAUUCAUGUGGGGUAUUGUUGGAAAAAUAUGAUUUUUUGGAAUCUUUGAGGCAUAUUUUCGAUUGGUAAAUGAGGAGUUUUGAAUCAUAAAAUUAUGAUUUUAUGUUCUACCUCAUGAGACCUUUACAACGGGAUAUCAUAUGCUCAAAAUGGUUGAGUGAUGAAUGAGAAAUUGAUGCUCAAAGUAAGCUACUUGGAAAUUAUGUUGAGAAAAAAUGAAAAAGCAUUAGUCCCACAUUGAUUUGGAAUCAAGUGUGGAACUUUUAUAUAUAUGUAAACCAACUUAGUGGUUAUUGAAUGAGUAAACUAAUGCUCUCCCUCGCGCGCAGGGGGUGCAAAUUCAAACCCAUCGGGGUUGGGAAACACCCGCACGACGUGGGUAACGCGAAAUGUCCGGAUCGAUCAGGCCCUUUUAGGCCUGCGAAUAUUUUAGCCCAAUACGUAUUUAUUUAUUUUUUUGAGCAGAUAUUAUACAGAAUCUGUUUUAAAAGAACAAAUAUCUCAUUUUGAUUUGAUUCCAAUCAAAUUUGAUUUUAUUUUAUUCAAAUUGAUUUAAAGGCUCCCUUAAUGCAGAUUUGUAUCUUUAUUCAUGAAAAUUUCUAAAAUUCCUCCACAUUGAAUGUCUAUAAAAGCCUAAAGAAUAUUGCAGAAUUCUUUAGAGACGCACAACGAAUUUAUUUCACUCUCGAAAAUUCUAUUCAUUUUCUCUCCAAAUUUUUCAAAUGUUUGGUGAUAGAAGAAGGAAAGAUUUAUUUAUUGAUCACUGCAGAAGCACUACUCCCAUGAUCAUUUUGUUGUUGUUUCUUGGGAGACAGACGAUCAACGUUUCUCCAAGUACCAUAGGAGCUGUCGAGUCUAUCUUACGGAAACUGUGAAAACAGGCCUCAACAUCUAGUAAAAUUCGAUUCUCUUAUUCGAUUUCUAAUUUUUCAAGAUCUUGUUUAUUUAAUUAUUUUUUAGAUAUGAUGUUUUAAAUAAAUAUAAAUAUUUAUUUAAUUGAUUUUGUUUAGAUCCGGUGUUUUUACAUAAAUAUAAAUAUUUGUUUAUAUUAUUUGUUCAAAAUCUUGUAUUUAAUAUAAAUAUUUAUAUUUAUAUUUGUUCACUAAGGUGUUUUGUCCAAACUAUAGCUUCUCAAUAAUUGUCAAAUAUUAUAGUGAUAUGCUUUUUCUUUCAAUAAUUCAUAUCUUCAAGAUUAAAAGGUUUACUUUAGUAUUAUUCUAUUUAUUGAGUGUGUAUUAAUGUUUUGUACAGGAAUCCGUUGGAUUUUGGUCUUGUAUAAAUUAGCUGUGGUUGUGGGUAAAUAAAUGUGUGCCGUUCUUCAUUCUCCGAACAUGCUGAAUAUAAUUAUUGGCAUUUCAAGUGUGGCAUAAUAUAAAACAAUGGUUGGCUUCAUCAUAAUCUGUUUGGAGACUAACGGACCACACUUUGACCUCCAAAUUUAGAAAAUAUUUCCAGAGUUGGAAAUUGUAAUUGUAAUACCCUAAUAUUUGUACACCGCAGUGAACAUGGACAAUCAUGUCAUGAUGCAGAACCAGAAAAUGGUGCCAACUCUCCUUCUUCUCCCCCUCUUUCUUCCAAAACUAUAUCCUCGAAAAUGGUGACAUCAAACUUCCUUUCGUUUAUCAAAGGUUCACCCCUCACAUUACAGGGUCCUGUUCGUAUCUCAAGGCAAUCAAACAUGGAAUCCAUAUAUAUGAUUCUUCCCCAAUCCUUGUUGUAGAUUCUUUGGGGAUACAAGCCUUUUUGUUUGUAUUUAAAUACAAAAAAGGGAGAAAGAAAAGUGCCAUCUACAACUGCAUGCUAAUGAUUGCCAAAAUCACUGUUUGUUUUGUUGGAAGGCUUUCAAUCUUGCGGGGUCUUGAAGAGCCUGUUUCAGUAACUUGCCAUUAAUUCUCUCUUACAUUCCAAUCCUAAAAAAUGCUUCCAUCUUUUAGCUGCAACAGUUUAUAAUCAUCAGAAAGGUCUAGUCAGAAUAAUAUUACCUUCUCCUUUUAAACAGUUUUUUUUUUUUAAAUCAUGCCACUACAACUGUAGCUGCGCUCAUGUUAACAAUUAAUUCCUAUAAUCGACAUCAAAAUUAUAUGAAAGAAUUAACACUUGGUUACCGAGUUACCAUAUUUGAAGAUAACGCGAAAGGUAAAAACACAAAAGGCAAGCAUGACCAAGCAAACAAGGUAUGGACAUUGAUUUUUUUGAAUCGGGAAUGACCAAAUGGGACCGUGAAGAGGUGACAAAGGAGAAAUCAGGCAUUCACGGUUUCCAUUGGAUGAAAUGAGAUAAGAUCACUGUGCUUCUUCCACGUGGCAGGUUGCCAAAGAUAAGGCUUUACCAUUCAAGAAAAGUUUCCACCCUCUUUGUGGUCAUUAUGGUUGUAAUGUCAUCUGAUUUAGGAUCCAACGGUCACCCUGUCUCCCAAACCAAUCUCUAAAUGUGGUGAGCUUAGACCAAAUUUUAUGACUAUAUAUAGGGGAUUGCACCAAGGCAGUGACACUAUUAAGGGAUCAGUGAGACUCUUUUGUAUACCUGUAGCAUAUAGUAAUAGUAAGCAGUAAUAGCAAUGGCCUCCUCCAUGAUCUCAUCGGCAACCAUUGCCACCGUGAACCGCUCCUCCCCGGCACAGGCCAACAUGGUGGCCCCCUUCACCGGCCUCAAAUCUGCCUCUGCUUUCCCAGUCACCAGGAAGGCCAACAACGACAUCACUUCUCUUGCAAGCAACGGUGGGAGAGUGCAAUGCAUGCAGGUACUUGGUGAUGCAUAAAUACCACUUAAAUUACCCCAAGUGUUUGAACACAACAAAUUACAUAAAUUGAAUCAAAUAUAUAUCUUGGCUUUUGAGUACAGGUGUGGCCGCCUCUUGGGAAGAAGAAGUUCGAGACUCUCUCAUACCUGCCCGAUCUUACUCCCGUACAGUUGGCUAAGGAAGUAGAUUACCUUCUUCGCUCUAAAUGGAUUCCUUGCUUGGAAUUCGAAUUAGAGGUGUUUUGGAGCUCUAAAUUAUUCCAUUCCUCCUCUUAAUUUUUUUAGUGGGAUAUUUGAGUUGAUUAAGUGUGUUUUAUAUGUAUGUGCAGGAGGGAUUCGUGCACCGUAAGUACUCGAGCUUACCCACGUACUACGAUGGACGCUACUGGACCAUGUGGAAACUGCCCAUGUUCGGGUGCACCGACUCGGCUCAGGUGUUGAAGGAGCUUGAGGAAUGCAAGAAGGAAUACCCCAAUGCAUUCAUUAGAAUCAUUGGGUUCGACAACGUUCGUCAAGUGCAGUGCAUUAGUUUCAUUGCCUACAAGCCUGAAGGCUACUAAGUUGUUUACUUCCCUCCUAGGAAUUCCAUUUGUUUCAAAGUUGUACUUAAAUUAAGCCCCUCAAGCCCCCCCCCCCUUUUUCUUUUUCUUUUUUAGUUGAGUUAUUUGGCUUGGGGUCUCUCUUUGUUUUGUUUUUGGAUUUCCAAUGGAACGGCUGAGAACUAAUGAAUAAAAAGGUAGUUUCUUGCCAUAUUUCAUGAAUCCAGUUCUUCCUCCAUUUUCAGUGCUAAGAUAUUCAUGUUAAGAUAGGAUAAAAAUUAAAAGAAAAAAAGGUGAUUGGGUGGUCUGGCUUUAAAAUAAGAGGAUAAAGAUUUUGUGGACAAGCAACGCUGUGCUGUUGGAGGCUCAUUAUCUUAGUACAUAGGAAUACACCAAAGAAACCAUUUUUAUUAAAUUGUUUUAUUAUGACAUCACAAGUUUCUAUUAUUAAAAUAACAACUUAAAAAGGCUAAAUUCAAAUA